rnacentral:misc_RNA from 1 species
GAUGAAGCACGUAGCGAAAUGCGAUACGUAGUGUGAAUUGCAGAAUUCAGUGAAUCAUCGAAUCUUUGAACGCACAUUGCACCUCUCGGUAUUCCGGGAGGUAUGCCUGUUCGAGCGUCAUUUGUACCCUCAAGCUCUGCUUGGUGUUGGGUGUUUGUUCCGCCUCUGUGUGUGAACUCGCCUCAAAACAAUUGGCAGCCGGCGUACUUGUUUCGGAGCGCAGCACAUUUUGCGAUCCAGAUCAACGUACAGCGGCAUCCAAGAAGCCUUAUUUAACGCUCUUGACCUCGGAUCAGGUAGGGAUACCCGCUGAACUUAAGCAUAUCAAUAAGCGGAGGA